rnacentral:rRNA from 1 species
UACGUAGGGUGCGAGCGUUGUCCGGAAUUAUUGGGCGUAAAGAGCUCGUAGGCGGUGUGUCACGUCGUUCGUGAAAACCUGCAGCUUAACUGUGGGCGUGCGGUCGAUACGGGCAUCACUGGAGUUCGGCAGGGGAGACUGGAAUUCCUGGUGUAGCGGUGAAAUGCGCAGAUAUCAGGAGGAACACCGGUGGCGAAGGCGGCAUCCUGGACCAACACUGACGCUGAUGAGCGAAAGCCAGGGGAGCAAACGGG